AUUGAACGCUGGCGGCGUGCCUAACACAUGCAAGUCGAGCGGUAACAGGUGUAGCAAUACAUGCUGACGAGCGGCGAACGGGUGAGUAAUGCUUUGGAAUCUUCCCAGUAGUGGGGAAUAACCAGUCGAAAGAUUGGCUAAUACCGCAUACGUCUGUAAAGGGAAAGCGGGGGCUCGUAAGACCUCGCGCUAUUGGAUGAGCCAAAGUCGGAUUAGCUAGUUGGUGGGGUAANGGCCUACCAAGGCGACAAUCCGUAGCUGGUCUGAGAGGACGACCAGCCACACCGGAACUGAGACACGGUCCGGACUCCUACGGGAGGCAGCAGUGGGGAAUAUUGGACAAGUGGGGAAACCCUGAUCCAGCGACGCCGCGUGUGUGAAGAAGGCCUGCGGGUUGUAAAGC
rnacentral:rRNA from 1 species